GAUGAACGCUGGCGGCGUGCCUAAUACAUGCAAGUCGAACGGGGCGUAGCAAUCCUCUUAGUGGCGAACGGGUGAGUAACGGGAUGGUACCUGCCCCGAAGCGGGGGCUCACGGACCGAAAGGUUCGCUAAUACCCCUUGCUCCGGGUAAAGGGUAAAGGUGAUAACCACUUUGGGAGGGGCAUGCGUCCCAUUAGCUAGUUGGUAAGGUAACGGCCUACCAAGGCGAUGACGGGUAGGGGGCCUGAGAGGCUGGCCCCCCACAAUGGAACUGAGACACGGCCCAGACACCUACGGGAGGCAGCAGUAGGGAAUAUUGGAAAUGGGCGCAAGCCUGAACCAGCAACGGCGCGUGGGGGAAUGCGGCCUUCAGGUUGGAAAAGACUUUUGACUGGGGCGGGGAAGGACGGUACCGGGAGAAUCAGCCUCGGCUAACUACGUG
rnacentral:rRNA from 1 species